rnacentral:misc_RNA from 1 species
AUUUGCAUCUCCACUAAUUGAACCACCAGAGACAAAACCAGGUACUGAGCUGUUUGUUCGAGUUCUGUUUAUGUCUCCACCAAUUGAACCACCAGAGACAAAUCCAGGUAAUGCCGGUCUCUUGUUGGCAUAAGCACUAGAACUUUGAGGGUUUGAUGAAGCAGCAACAAAAUUACUCUUGAAUUGACCCAUCAUCCCUGUCCUUGGUGAACUAACUGCAGCAGAUCUACUUGGAGCAGCUUGAGAUGGAGUACUGUUGGGUUCUGGAUUAUAGCCAAUGCCAAGACCAUAAUCCACUCCACGCACACCUCGACCACCUACACCCCUCCCUCUACCCUUUUUCCCACCUGCACAGGUAAAUAGUUCAUGGGACGUUUAAUAAAUCCAGCAAGGGUUGGCUUAAAGUAAAAUUUUUCAUAUGACGGGUUAUAUACUCUGUUACUAAACACUUUCUAUCUCCUAAUGGAACCUCGAUGCAAAAUUGCAAGACAAAUUUCAUCACACAUUUUUCUCAUAAACAAUAAAAAUCCCUUAAUAUGCUUUCAAAAUGAGAAAAUAACAAGAUGUGCUAACCCUAAACCACAACAAGAAUCUUACUAAUAAGCAAGCAAUUACAAGCACACCAGAUAUUGCUAACUCUGAAACAUGCUAGAUGCAAAAUAGAAAAGCAUACCUCCUUUUCUCGCAUCACGUUUGGACCUGAAUCUCCCAUCCUUCAUGGCAAGAUCCAUAAGUUCCAUGGAGACAUUCUGACCAGCAGCAAUCAAACUGUUAACCAAUUCACCAGCAAAACGUGCUUCUUUUUGAGUAACAAGAGUAUAAGCAAUCCCAUCCUUGUCACCAGCACGACCAGUCCUACCAAUACGAUGCACAUGCAUGUCCAUGUCUCUUGCAAUAUCAAAGUUCACCACCGACUUGAUUGAUUUGAUGUCAAGUCCACGAGCAGCAACAUCA